UGCAUCCCCAGCUGCAGUCCUUUCAUAGCCUUCCAGGAAACACCGUGACAGAAGGACCUUAGACCUCCACACCAGAAAUGACUCUCAGCCUGAUGCAUGUGUUUAUUAUAGUAAGCUAUGUCAUUGACCUCAGGGGGACAAGGGCUUGGCUCCUGGCUAUUGAAAUUACCACUGAUCUGUGUUUAAAUAGCUGCUGCAUUUACAGCUAAGCAGAAGAUUUUAACAGCCAUGGAACAACUGAAGAGAGAGUUCGUAGCAACAUUUAAAGAAAAAUAAUACUUUCUUUUCACAAGAACACCAACAACCAUCCUGUGUCUUUUUUCCAGCAUAAGGUGUUGAGUUCCAUGGAGAGCAAAAGAGCUAAAAAGGUGUUUUACACAUGACAUAGGCAACAUCAAGACACCAUCUAGAACAAUUGCAGUCUACAAUAAUCCAGAAGGAAAUGAUGAAGUACAGAGAAACCUGAAAAGGCGGUAACACAAGAAAGAG